rnacentral:rRNA from 1 species
UACGUAGGUGGCAAGCGUUUGUCCGGAUUUAUUGGGUUUAAAGGGUGCGUAGGCGGUUCUAUAAGUCAGUGGUGAAAUCCGGCAGCUCAACUGUCGAUGUGCCAUUGAUACUGCGGUGCUUGAGGACUGGAGAGGAGACUGGGAAUUUACGGUGUAGCAGUGAAAUGCGUAGAGAUCGUAAGGAAGACCAGUGGCGAAGGCGAAUCUCUGGACAGUUACUGACACUGAGGCACGAAGCCAGGGGAGCAAACGGG